GUCGGUGUCGUAUAGACGGCAAGUACACCCGCCUCUCAAGCGGACAACACGGGUUCGAUUCCCGUCACCGAUA
rnacentral:tRNA from 1 species